rnacentral:tRNA from 1 species
GUAGUGGUGGCUCAGUGGUAGAAUCCUCGCCUGCCAUGUGGGAGACCCGGGUUUGAUUCUCAGCCAAUGCA